rnacentral:misc_RNA from 1 species
AGAGAGAGAGAGAGAGAGAGACAAAAACAAAAAAGACGUGGACAGAUAACAGAACCAUUAGCACAAGAAAGAAGUAGUAUUAGCGGAAAAAAUCUUACCAGCUACAAUUUCUCAUCCACUUCUUGUAGAACUCAACAAUCAAACCCGUCAACUUCAUUGCAUGGAAAUAAAAUUACAACUAAAAAUCGAAAAUUGCCUCAAGGAAUUAUCCUUUAGCGGUCACUUAAAAACAACAACAACAAAAUGACGAAGUAUUUUUAAUACCUACAUUGCUCAAUAAGGUCAACAUUUCUUCAACUAUUGAGCAUUUCUAAAAACAACCUAGUUUCAAAAAUAACACACAAAAGUUCGAUCUAAAUACCACCAUAUCCGCAUUAUCCAAAUCAAACAAUCCCUAAAACCCUAAUUCCACUCCAGGCGAUUCAAACAGCGAAGAAUUUCGACAAAUAAUCAUGAAGAAAAAAAUAUAGCAUUCGCUUAAACAAGGUCAAGCGGAAAAAUCCAUUGAGUUUAAAUACGUAGACAGACCAUUCCCACUGACGGAAGAGGAAGGAGAUGAAGUCGCAGAGGAGGUAUGACACGAGAUUCUACCACGAAUCGCCCGAGAAGACACCGAUAUACUGGAGAAUUGGACAGUGGGAAAGAAGAUUACUGGAGAAAGCAGAGGAAGAAGAAGCGAAAGAGAAUUUGUUUGAUGAAAGAGAAUUUGUUUGAUGGAAGUGCAGAGUGACAUGAAAUCGCCGCCAUUUUUUUUACUCUCUUUGAUUUGGAACUUGAAACAGUGACAGUUCAGUAACGCUGAGACCACCGAGUCGCGGACCAGUUAGAAUUGCGGUUUUAUAGCGGUCGGGAUUACGUAAAUGCCCUCAGACGAGGUUGAAAAUAGUGUUGGGCAUCUCCUUUAAAUUUUUCAGAUAAAUUACCUUUUUAAUUAUACGGGUGGCAAAAAUUUUCAAACCCCUCUCAUUCCAAACUCAAUUAUUUUGCUUU